CUUUAUUCUGUGUCUCUGUGUGUUGUGUGUUCUGUGUGUUCUCUGUGACAUCAGAAAUGGGCUAGAAAGGAGGAUUCUUUCAUGGGCUCCAUGACAUUAGGUCAUUCCCAUAUCUCAGUUUUCCUGCCUAAAAGUGGGACUUAUAAACCCUCCCUUGCUCAGAUGUUAGGAUGGGAGGAUUAAGAUUGCAAACAUUAUUGCUGUGCCUUUCAGCUAAAAGAUUAUGAGCAAUUUAAGGAUCAGAAUGGGGUCUGUAUAAUCUCUGUUGCAUCAUGCCUAACAUAAGCCCACAGGGAACCUUCAUAUAUAAUUAACAUUUUCUGCAUCAGAGAGGAGGGAAUCAGAGUGAUGAAGAAGAAAAGGAACUUGACAGCUUAGAGUAUGGAAAAAGUUUGCUUUCAGAGCAGUCUACAGUGUGAAAAUUGCAGAAAUCCUCUGUCUUUCACACACACCACAGCCAGAACCAGGGGGAAUCACCUCUCUCUUUUAGACAUAUUUCAUGAAGUGAUUUGUCAGUGCUUUCAAGAACAUGUUGCUUCCAGGAUAGAUUUCCUUGUGUAUGCCCUGGAUCUGGAACUAACACCACUGCCAACUUCAUCUUCCUCAGUUCCACUGCCACUUCUUUGCAUGAGAAAUAAGAAGUCAAGAAAUGUGGAGUGAUCAUCCAUAAAUGGUUUUACCUGCAUCACCAAUGAGACUCCCCACCACCACAUUUUUAAAAAAAGAGAAAGAGAAAGGAAAACAAAAAAAACCUCUUUGUUACAAAGAAGCAUAAUAAAUCAAAAGGCACUCACA
rnacentral:lncRNA from 1 species